rnacentral:rRNA from 1 species
AUUGAACGCUGGCGGCAUGCCUUACACAUGCAAGUCGAACGGCAGCACGGGGCAACCUGGUGGCGAGUGGCGAACGGGUGAGUAAUGCAUCGGAGCGUACCUUUCAGUGGGGGAUAACGUAGCGAAAGUUACGCUAAUACCGCAUAUUCUGUGAGCAGGAAAGCAGGGGAUCGCAAGACCUUGCGCUGAUUGAGCGGCCGAUGUCAGAUUAACUAGUUGGUGAGGUAAAGGCUCACCAAGGCGACGAUCUGUAGCGGGUCUGAGAAGAUGAUCCGCCACACUGGAACUGAGACACGGUCCAGACUCCUACGGGAGGCAGCAGUGGGGAAUUUUGGACAAUGGGCGCAAGCCUGAUCCAGCAAUGCCGCGUGUGUGAAGAAGGCCUUCGGGUUGUAAAGCACUUUAGCCUGGAAAGAAAAAACUUUGGUUGACACCCAAAGUCUUGACGGUACCAGGAGAAUAAGCACCGGCUAACUACGUGCCAGCCGCCGCAGUAAUAC